UGAUGAGGAUUGAGGACUCAGUUUUUAU
rnacentral:piRNA from 1 species